AAUAACGGUCCUAAGGUAGCGAAAUUCCUUGUCGGGUAAGUUCCGACCCGCACGAAUGGCGUAACGAUGGCCACACUGUCUCCUCCUGAGACUCAGCGAAGUUGAAAUGUUUGUGAAGAUGCAAUCUCCCCGCUGCUAGACGGAAAGACCCCGUGAACCUUUACUGUAGCUUUGCAUUGGACUUUGAACAGACUUGUGUAGGAUAGGUGGGAGGCUUUGAAGUGGGAACGCCAGUUCUCAUGGAGCCGUCCUUGAAAAUACCACCCUGGUGUGUUUGAGGUUCUAACCUAGGUCCGUAAUCCGGAUCGGGGACCGUGCAUGGUAGGCAGUUUGACUGGGGCGGUCUCCUCCCAAAAGUGUAACGGAGGAGCUCGAAGGUCUCCUAGGUACGGUCGGACAUCGUACUGAUAGUGUAAUGGCAUAAGGAGGCUUAACUGCGAGACCGACAAGUCGAGCAGGUGCGAAAGCAGGACAUAGUGAUCCGGUGGUUCUGUAUGGAAGGGCCAUCGCUCAACGGAUAAAAGGUACUCCGGGG
rnacentral:rRNA from 1 species